GAGUUUGAUCAUGGCUCAGAUUGAACGCUGGCGGCAUGCCUUACACAUGCAAGUCGAACGGCAGCAUGAUCUAGCUUGCUAGAUUGAUGGCGAGUGGCGAACGGGUGAGUAAUACAUCGGAACGUGCCCUGUAGUGGGGGAUAACUAGUCGAAAGAUUAGCUAAUACCGCAUACGACCUGAGGGUGAAAGUGGGGGACCGCAAGGCCUCAUGCUAUAGGAGCGGCCGAUGUCUGAUUAGCUAGUUGGUGGGGUAGAGGCCCACCAAGGCGACGAUCAGUAGCUGGUCUGAGAGGACGAUCAGCCACACUGGGACUGAGACACGGCCCAGACUCCUACGGGAGGCAGCAGUGGGGAAUUUUGGACAAUGGGGGCAACCCUGAUCCAGCAAUGCCGCGUGUGUGAAGAAGGCCUUCGGGUUGUAAAGCACUUUUGUCCGGAAAGAAAUCGCACUUACUAAUAUUAGGUGUGGAUGACGGUACCGGAAGAAUAAGGACCGGCUAACUACGUGCCAGCAGCCGCGGUAAUACGUAGGGUCCAAGCGUUAAUCGGAAUUACUGGGCGUAAAGCGUGCGCAGGCGGUUGUGCAAGACCGAUGUGAAAUCCCCGGGCUUAACCUGGGAAUUGCAUUGGUGACUGCACGGCUAGAGUGUGUCAGAGGGGGGUAGAAUUCCACGUGUAGCAGUGAAAUGCGUAGAGAUGUGGAGGAAUACCGAUGGCGAAGGCAGCCCCCUGGGAUAACACUGACGCUCAUGCACGAAAGCGUGGGGAGCAAACAGGAUUAGAUACCCUGGUAGUCCACGCCCUAAACGAUGUCAACUAGUUGUUGGGGAUUCAUUUCCUUAGUAACGUAGCUAACGCGUGAAGUUGACCGCCUGGGGAGUACGGUCGCAAGAUUAAAACUCAAAGGAAUUGACGGGGACCCGCACAAGCGGUGGAUGAUGUGGAUUAAUUCGAUGCAACGCGAAAAACCUUACCUACCCUUGACAUGCCACUAACGAAGCAGAGAUGCAUUAGGUGCUCGAAAGAGAAAGUGGACACAGGUGCUGCAUGGCUGUCGUCAGCUCGUGUCGUGAGAUGUUGGGUUAAGUCCCGCAACGAGCGCAACCCUUGUCUCUAGUUGCUACGAAAGGGCACUCUAGAGAGACUGCCGGUGACAAACCGGAGGAAGGUGGGGAUGACGUCAAGUCCUCAUGGCCCUUAUGGGUAGGGCUUCACACGUCAUACAAUGGUGCAUACAGAGGGUUGCCAAGCCGCGAGGUGGAGCUAAUCCCAGAAAAUGCAUCGUAGUCCGGAUCGUAGUCUGCAACUCGACUACGUGAAGCUGGAAUCGCUAGUAAUCGCGGAUCAGCAUGCCGCGGUGAAUACGU
rnacentral:rRNA from 1 species